AAUACAAGAACAUCAAUCCCACGCAGGGGAAUAAGAUAACUAAAAUGCUGAAGGACCUGCUCCUCCUCUUGCUUUUCCCACUUCUUCACGAAUGAGAAACUUGCUGGUUAUCACAUGCGGCUCAGCGAACACAGCUUUGGAAGACAUCGACACGCCCUGGAGGGUGUUAAGCUGAUCAUCCAAGUUCAAGUCCAAACGUAUCAGGCAGGCUCUCGCGU
rnacentral:lncRNA from 1 species